rnacentral:lncRNA from 1 species
CAUUGUAUUGGAAGACUGUAGUAAAAAUUAAUCCUAGAGUGUACAUGAUUAUUAUGUCUGCUAAAAUAGUUUGCAAUUAAGUUAAAUGAAGAUUAAACGACACAUAUUUAAAGACAUGAAAGCCCAGUGAGUUAUUUUGUGAACAUGGGGAAUGAAUUAACAGUAACAGUUUGUGCAAAAACUUUCCUGUUCCUUCCUCCCUUAGGCACCUCAUUAUUUAAACAUUUUCAUUUUAUUCAGUUAUCCUACAUCUAGGACGGCCUCUACUCAGCUAACUCCUCUUCCCCUCUCUUUUCUCCAAUUCAGAUCUAGUGCAGAGGAGAAAAGGAUAAUAGAGUCAAUAUUACACUAAACAUCAUGGGAUACUUCUCAAGACACUAAAAAGAUAGCAAAUCAAGAAGUACUAUUUGCUAUUUUGAACUAGAACAGCAUGUAAAUGUUCCCAUCUCUUUUCUUGGCAGAUGGAACUGGACAGAAAUUCUGUCCAUAAGGCCCUUAGAAACCCUCUAAGUGGGAUAUCAGCGAGGACUGUACCAGAAGCUGCUUUCUCUGUAGUCAGGAAUGGAAUCCCAUUUUUUACAGAGGCAUCUGGCUUAGAGCAGUGUGCAGUUGGCCAGCAAAGGGGUGACUCAAUGCUUGGACCUUACCACUCUCAGCCUCUUGCCUGCUGCUGCCUGUGACCUGAUCAUCACAUGAGGCAUUUUCCUGCCACUCUGUCUCUCUG